AACGAACGCUGGCGGCAUGCCUAACACAUGCAAGUCGAACGAGACCUUCGGGUCUAGUGGCGCACGGGUGCGUAACGCGUGGGAACCUGCCCUUAGGUUCGGAAUAACUCCCCGAAAGGGGUGCUAAUACCGGAUAAUGUCUUCGGACCAAAGAUUUAUCGCCUUUGGAUGGGCCCGCGUUGGAUUAGCUAGUUGGUAGGGUAAAAGCCUACCAAGGCGACGAUCCAUAGCUGGUCUGAGAGGAUGAUCAGCCACACUGGGACUGAGACACGGCCCAGACUCCUACGGGAGGCAGCAAUGGGGAAUAUUGGACAAUGGGCGAAAGCCUGAUCCAGCAAUGCCGCGUGAGUGAUGAAGGCCUUAGGGUUGUAAAGCUCUUUUACCCGGGAUGAUAAUGACAGGACCGGGAGAAUAAGCUCCGGCUAACUCCGU
rnacentral:rRNA from 1 species